CCAGCCGCCGUGAAACAGAAGCGCGAAUGUUUAGUUCUACGAUUUCGUCGGUACUGCCUUACCGCCGCCAGAGCUGAGUUAGACAUUGAAGGAAGCGGUUGGUGAAUACGACGAGAGCUAGCAAAGAAGAGUUGUUUGAUUUGUUUCAGCCCCAUGACCGAGACGUUCAGGUGGCGUGACUGGCGUGCCUGUCUGCAAUCCCGCCUUUCAGUAAGGAGCUGUAAGGAAGAACCAUGCUGCUGGUGGUGCUGCGGACUCAGAUGUGGACUCGUUUGCCAUAAGGUGGUUCAACCUAGCCAGUCACCGGGGCGGUGGUAGGAAAGAACGGGAAAAAAACAGGCAGGAAGCACCACGAGAGGCUUCACACGACCUAGUUCCCAGAGUUUUGGGGCAGUAAGGACAAGAUCCACCCACCACCCAGUGCAUGCUAUUUGUGUAAUAAUUUGAGAGGGAAAGUGUGUGAUAAGUGAAAUUUAAUAAAAUAAGUAAAAUGUU